rnacentral:rRNA from 1 species
AUUGAACGCUGGCGGCAUGCUUUACACAUGCAAGUCGAACGGUAACAGGGACUUCGGUCUGCUGACGAGUGGCGAACGGGUGAGUAACAUAUCGGAACGUGCCCAGUAAUGGGGGAUAGCUCGGCGAAAGCCGGAUUAAUACCGCAUACGCCCUGAGGGGGAAAGUGGGGGAUCUUCGGACCUCACGUUAUUGGAGCGGCCGAUAUCGGAUUAGCUAGUUGGUGGGGUAAAGGCCUACCAAGCCGACGAUCUGUAGCUGGUCUGAGAGGACGACCAGCCACACUGGGACUGAGACACGGCCCAGACUCCUACGGGAGGCAGCAGUGGGGAAUUUUGGACAAUGGGCGCAAGCCUGAUCCAGCCAUGCCGCGUGCGGGAAGAAGGCCU